rnacentral:rRNA from 1 species
UUGACGGGGAGCACCACAACGGGUGGAGCUUGCGGUUUAAUUGGAUUCAACGCCGGAAAUCUUACCGGGACCGACAGCAAUAUGAAGGCCAGGCUGAAGACUUUGCCGGAUUAGCUGAGAGGUGGUGCAUGGCCGUCGUCAGUUCGUACUGUGAAGCAUCCUGUUAAGUCAGGCAACGAGCGAGACCCACGCCCACAGUUGCCAGCGUACUCUCUGGAGUGACGGGUACACUGUGGGGACCGCCGCUGCUAAAGCGGAGGAAGGAAUGGGCAACGGUAGGUCAGUAUGCCCCGAAUAUCCCGGGCUACACGCGAGCUACAAUGGUUGGUACAAUGGGUAUCUACCCCGAAAGGGGACGGGAAUCUCCUAAAACCAAUCUUAGUUCGGAUUGAGGGUUGCAACUCGCCCUCAUGAAGCUGGAAUCCGUAGUAAUCGCGUUUCAACAGAACGCGGUGAAUACGUCCCUGCUCCUU